GAUGAAGAACGCAGCGAAAUGCGAUACGUAGUGUGAAUUGCAGAAUUCAGUGAAUCAUCGAAUCUUUGAAUGCACAUUGCACCUCUCGGUAUUCCGGGAGGUAUGCCUGUUCGAGCGUCAUUUGUACCCUCAAGCUCUGCUUGGUGUUGGGUGUUUGUUCCGCCUCUGUGUGUGAACUCGCCUCAAAACAAUUGGCAGCCGGCGUACUUGUUUCGGAGCGCAGCACAUUUUGCGAUCCAGAUCAACGUACAGCGGCAUCCAAGAAGCCUUAUUUAACGCUCUUGACCUCGGAUCAGGUAGGGAUACCCGCUGAACUUAAGCAUAUCAAUAAGCGGAGGA
rnacentral:misc_RNA from 1 species